rnacentral:rRNA from 1 species
CGCGUAGGCGGCAAGGCAAGUCAGAUGUGAAAUCCCCGGGCUCAACCUGGGAAUUGCAUCUGAAACUGCAGUGCUUGAGUCCUGGAGGGGAUAGUGGAAUUCCCAGUGUAGCGGUGAAAUGCGUAGAUAUUGGGAGGAACACCUGCGGCGAAGGCGGCUAUCUGGACAGCGACUGACGCUGAUGCGCGAAAGCCAGGGGAGCGAACG